rnacentral:lncRNA from 1 species
UAAACAGUGAAGCCCCUGGCAGGCUGUCCUCCCCUGAUAAGAGGGAAAGGCCAGAAGAUCAGGGUGGAGACCACCAGACCAGAUGUUUCUGACCCCAGGGUAAAUGAUGUCAUGGAGAAAUCUGGUGGUAGCUGAUAAGGAUUGAAAGAGGGGUCAAAAGCCCCCAAAUUUAGUAUAAAUAAUAGAGCUGAUGAACAGGGAUUCAGCCAGCAGGAACAAGGAUGCACUUGAUGAGGACCUA